AUCAUCCACUAGGGGAAUCAAUUGAUUGAGACAAGGAAACUUGGACCCUUUGAACCUGAUCUGGUUAACACCAGCGUAGGAAAGUGGAGCUGACCACUU
rnacentral:ncRNA from 1 species